rnacentral:rRNA from 1 species
AGUGAACGCUGGCGGUAGGCCUAACACAUGCAAGUCGAACGGCAGCACAGUAAGAGCUAGCUCUUACGGGUGGCGAGUGGCGGACGGGUGAGGAAUACAUCGGAAUCUACUUUUUCGUGGGGGAUAACGUAGGGAAACUUACGCUAAUACCGCAUACGACCUACGGGUGAAAGCAGUGGAUCUUCGCACCUUGCGCGAUUGAAUGAGCCGAUGUCGGAUUAGCUAGUUGGCGGGGUAAAGGCCCACCAAGGCGACGAUCCGUAGCUGGUCUGAGAGGAUGAUCAGCCACACUGGAACUGAGACACGGUCCAGACUCCUACGGGAGGCAGCAGUGGGGAAUAUUGGACAAUGGGCGCAAGCCUGAUCCAGCCAUACCGCGUGGGUGAAGAAGGCCUUCGGGUUGUAAAGCCCUUUUGUUGGGAAAGAAAAGCAGCAGGUUAAUACCCCGCUGUUCUGACGGUACCCAAAGAAUAAGCACCGGCUAACUUCGUG